rnacentral:rRNA from 1 species
AGUGAACGCUGGCGGUAGGCCUAACACAUGCAAGUCGAACGGCAGCACAGUAAGAGCUUGCUCUUACGGGUGGCGAGUGGCGGACGGGUGAGGAAUACAUCGGAAUCUACUUUUUCGUGGGGGAUAACGUAGGGAAACUUACGCUAAUACCGCAUACUACCUACGGGUGAAAGCAGGGGAUCUUCGGACCUUGCGCGAUUGAAUGAGCCGAUGUCGCAUUAGCUAGUUGGCUGGGUAAAGGCCCACCAAGGCGACGAUCCGUAGCUGGUCUGAGAGGAUGAUCAGCCACACUGGAACUGAGACACGGUCCAGACUCCUACGGGAGGCAGCAGUGGGGAAUAUUGGACAAUGGGCGAAAGCCUGACCCAGCAAUACCGCGUGGGUGAAGAAGGCCUUCGGGUUGUAAAGCCCUUUUGUUGGGAAAGAAAAGCAGCAGGUUAAUACCCCGAUGUUCUGACGGUACCCAAAGAAUAAGCACCGGCUAACUUCGUG